CGGAUUGUAGACGCAGCAGCGCGUGAACAGGACUUUUAGUUUGAUCUUGUUGGCAUGACGUCAUGUAGCUGCGCCGCGCUCCUGCGUCUGUGUUUCAGCUGAAGACAGGACAAAGUAUUCAAACACAGAAAAACUCCUGCUGACGUGACUGAGAUCCACGUGACACACGAUUAUAAAGAUGGAGUUUAUUAAAGAGGAGAGUGAAGACAUGAAAACUAAAGAAACAUUUAGAGACAAACAUGAAGAUACUGAGGAACAAACAGGUAAAUAUGCAUGCGUUACGGACGUGACAAAAAAGGACAGGAGUCUUUGGGAGUCGACAUACUUUGUAGAAAUUCUGCGAAUUCAAAUGCACAAGCCAAAAGACAUAACACCAGCCGAAAGGGUAAGGGUUGUCUCUCCAUGGAACAUAAAUUCAUUAUUUUAUUCAUUUUUGCAUUUGUGAGGAAAAACCAGUGUUAUGGACGUGACCAAUCUGAAAUUGUGACAUGUCUGACAAAUCAGAUAAAAUGCUUUAAAAACGUUAACCAAGAUCUAAUUGUGGGUCUCUGUUGGGUAUUUAAACCAACAAACAUUUCCCUUUGAGACAACUGUAUGGUAAGGUUGCACAAUAAAAUAACAUUUAAACUGAAAUCACCUUGUUAUAGAUUAACUUGUGUUCGCGUGAGUGUGGUUUUAAAAUGUAACCAGGGGUGCGUUUCCCAAAACCAUAGUUGCUAACUAAGUUAGCAACUUUGUUGGUUGCGAUGCAAUUUCCCAUUGCCAACCAACUAAGUUGCUAACAGGUUAGCAACUAUGGUUUUGGGAAAUGCACCCCAGUGCGGAUAGGUUCAAAACUGAAUUCGGACAUGAUUAUUCGCUAAUGUGGUGUUUACUUUAGACCUCGAAUAAUAUAGAAUUGCUAAUAUCCAUCAUCAGCUAUAAUAAAUGUUUACCAAGUUCCAGAGAUCGCCGCAGUAUCCACUCAGAACAAACCUCGGUGAAUUGAAGUAUUGUCCGGUUGUUAGUGUGCACUGUGUCAGCCUGUGUCUGUGUGAAGAAUGGUAUGUAAAAUACAAUCAUGUCACAGUGAUUGCAAUAUUAUGUUUGAUGGCGAUGUUUAUUCUUAGGUUGCGUUGCUUAAUGAGCAAUUGUGAUUCAAAAUAGCUGCAUAAUGUUUGUCAAAAUAAUUGCAAUGUAAGCCAAUGCUUUAGAAUGAUCUACAUGUUAUAUAUCAUCUCUAAAUAUUACUUAAUUAGUAGUUAUGUUUUACCAAGUUUAAUGGCUGGCAUUUGGAUGUUAAGAAGAUUAAGACGCAGCAAACGACAUGUCUGAUGUCCAAAAAAAGGCCAACAUUUGUUACUGACUAGCGUUGAGGAUUUUGUAGCAACAAGAGGGCUGUAAAACAGAUGUCCAAAAAGACUGCCUCUGCAAAGUGAUACCUCCCUCCUCUGUUGUCUACGUUUGGGUUGAAAGUCUCAAUCACUUGGUCAGGUGUCACCCGAGCUUUAUCUUCCAUCACAGCUGUUGACUGAUGCUCAGAGGACUGGUGUUCAGGACUUUCAGCAGAUGUGAUUUCCGAGAGCAGAAAUGUAUGGACACCUGACUGUUCUGCCUCAGAGUAUUUUUUGUGACGCACUUCUCCCCCUGAGACUGGAACAUCUGAGAUAAUGGCCCAUCGCUCAUUUAGCUUAUGAUGCUGUAUAAAAUCUGUGAUUUUGUUGGAUGUAAUGAGUUUGAUGUUGAUGUUUGGGCAACUCUUCCUUGCAGAAGCUACAAAUGAAGCAGCAUCUGCCACAAGGAUUGCCUGUCUGCAGAGGACAUCAGUGUUAACUGCACACUUCACAGUUGCUCCCACACCAUCCACUGCACCUUUGCCAUGGCUUGUGGCAAAGAAGUGCCACUGUACUCUUAUUGUUGGAAACAGCUCCUUGAAUGUAGUUGACAUGAAACACCAGAUGAACUUGUUCUUAAACUGAGAAGCAGCUCCAUCACUAAAUAAGGUCGACAAAAUUAAGUACAUUACCUAGUGUGCCACUUUUUUGGACCUUAUUUGGCAGCCCUUCUGUUGUUUCCCAUGCGUACCAGGUCACCUUAAUUUGUUUAUCUUCUUCUGGGAUGUUACAGAGGGUAUGCAUUUCCAUGAGCUUGCCAUUCCUGCAUUCAGCACACUGUCCUCACAUGCAGAGGGGACUGUCUGGAUUGCAGGCCACAGCUUCAACAAAAUCCUGUGUGCUCUAGAAUGCCUGCCUUGGGAUGACAUGUUUCGUGAUAUCGGCAAAGACACACAUUUCUUGGAGUGUCUGAAGACCGGAGCACAUGAGAUGGUCGAAGCUCAGCAAAUUUAGAUUUUCCAAUUAUAGACUCCGGAUGUUCAUUUUUGAAGUAGCAGUAGGCCUCUAGAAUAGACGUUGUUAAAUGCCGUUUCUGGAUUUUCUUUUUCAUUCCUCCCUCUCUGACUGUGACCACAUCCCUCAAUCCUGGUGCUUGCCUUGAGAUGUCAUCUCUCUCAUAGAAUUCCCUGACAUGAUCAUAUGUAGUAGUGGUGGUGGCCACAUGAUUUAUUUUAUUUUUCUCUGGUAGAAGGCACAGUGAUGUUGCAAUCUUUUUUUAUAAUUGUUUAUUUUUUAGAGGGCUGCUAAGUAAAGCUAGGAGUGCUCUUCUUAGUGCCUUGCCUAGAGACUGUCUUGUUUUAAAUGGUGAAUUCUGUGAUUCCUGGAGUAAAUCAGGAACCUGUGACCUCUUCAGCAAACGCCUUUUUCUCUGUCUUUCUCUAGCAAGCUCCCUGACUCUCUCUGCCUCUUGUUUUGAUUGUUUCUUUCUUUCUUAGUCUUUCUGCUUUUUUCUUUAUUUCUCCUUUUCCUUGAAAUUUUCAUUAUUCCUCCUCCUCUCUCUGCAUUCCCUGGGUCUUUCAGUAUUAGAUUUUGCCAUUGCGCUAUAGGAUGAGUUAUAUAGUAUAAAUACAUUUUGUUGUUGUUUCUUUGUUGGUUAUUAUAUAUCAUUUUAUUGGUUGUAUUAUAUUAAUCACUUUUAUUAAAAUUGAUACUGUGUAAUAAAAAAAAUUG